rnacentral:rRNA from 1 species
GAUGAACGCUAGCUACAGGCUUAACACAUGCAAGUCGAGGGGAAACGAUAUUGGAAGCUUGCUUCCGAUAGGCGUCGACCGGCGCACGGGUGAGUAACGCGUAUCCAACCUGCCCACCACUUGGGGAUAACCUUGCGAAAGUAAGACUAAUACCCAAUGACGUCUCUAGAAGACAUCUGAAAGAGAUUAAAGAUUUAUCGGUGAUGGAUGGGGAUGCGUCUGAUUAGCUUGUUGGCGGGGUAACGGCCCACCAAGGCAACGAUCAGUAGGGGUUCUGAGAGGAAGGUCCCCCACAUUGGAACUGAGACACGGUCCAAACUCCUACGGGAGGCAGCAGUGAGGAAUAUUGGUCAAUGGGCGAGAGCCUGAACCAGCCAAGUAGCGUGCAGGACGACGGCCCUAUGGGUUGUAAACUGCUUUUAUAAGGGAAUAAAGUGAGUCUCGUGAGACUUUUUGCAUGUACCUUAUGAAUAAGGACCGGCUAAUUCCGUG